CUUUUGAUGGAGUAUCAAAAGUAAAAAGAUUCAUCACAUUUAAAGAGUCUAAACCUUCUUCCCCAACACUAUCAAUAUCCAGUCCUACUGCCACAACUGAGGCAAAAAAGUCUAUGCUCACUAGCACCUCUAAAGAUGAUGUCAGAUCUCAGAAUGACGAUGAUAAUUUCUUUGGUAAAAUAAAUGUAUCUUUCGAUGGUGUGCCAAAAUUAAAGCAAUAUCUUAAGUUUAAGGAGUCUGAACUUCGUCCACAACACAUUCAGUCAACAUCUUCACCUUCAGCCUCAGGAGUAGUUAAACAAGGGAGAGUGGAAACCGAAUUCUUUGGAGAAAUCGGUAUUUCUCUUGACAGAGUACCACAGGUAAAGAGAUAUAUUCAAUUUAAACAGCCUGUAUCUCAUCUUCCAACAGUGUCACCCACCACUUCAGAUACACUGAAAGUCACAACUGAGGUGAAAACCAAAUCUGAAACAAAGAGAUUGAGUACUUCUUCUGAGGAUGAUGUCAAACAGACAGCCGAUGUCUCUGGACAAACAGGAACAUCUCUUGAUAGAGUGCCAAGAGUUAAAAGAUACAUUCAAUUCACACAUCCUGAAAUUCAAUCUCCAGUUCAGACAACAACUGGUCUCUCAUCUGAAAGAGUCAAUGUAGCUAUUGUAGCUAAAGAAACAAGGAGAUGGAGCACUUCAUCUAAAGAAGAUGCUAAACCGACUAGCAAAAAAGAGAAUAUCACUAAAGAAACUAGUGAAUAUCUUGCCAAAAUCCCAAAAGUAAAGAGGUACAUUAAGUUCACACAAUCUCAACCAUACUCCUCAAAUCUGUCACAAUUUCAUCCUUUAACCAUGGAAAAAUCCACAAAGGUGACAGAAACUGAACUGAAACAACCAGGCACUAGGGAGAGCACUUCAUCUAAAGAUGAUGUUCAGGAAGACAAUGGCUCUGGGCAAAUAGGAGUGUCUCUUAACGUAGUACCUAGAGUUAAGAGAUACAUUCAAUUCACACAUUCUGAAAGUCAAUCCCCUGCUCAGUCAACAUCUUCUGUUUCAGCUCAAAGACUUGGAACACUGGGGGUAGUUCAAGACAUAAGGAGAUCAAGCACUUCAUCUGAGGAAGAUGUCACACUAAGUGCUAAAGAAGAUAAUGUAUUUGAACAUACUGGAGCAUCUCUUGACAAAUUUCCAAAGGUUAAGAGAUAUAUUCAAUUCACAAAGCCUGUAAGUGAAACUCUUAUUCAGAGAACAACUGCUCUCUCAGCUAAUAGAAUUGGAAUAUCUGGGGUUGUUCAAGAAACAAGGAAAUCAAUUACUUCAUCUGAUGAUGAUGUUGAGCUAUCUACUCAGAAUGAUGAUGCGUUUAAACAAAGAGGUGAAUCUUUUGACAAAAUCCCAGAAGUGAAGAGGUACAUUAAGU
ensembl:lncRNA